rnacentral:rRNA from 1 species
UACGAAGGUGGCAAGCGUUGUUCGGAUUCACUGGGCGUACAGGGAGCGUAGGCGGUUGGGUAAGCCCUCCGUGAAAUCUCCGGGCCUAACCCGGAAAGUGCAGAGGGGACUGCUUGGCUAGAGGAUGGGAGAGGAGCGCGGAAUUCCCGGUGUAGCGGUGAAAUGCGUAGAGAUCGGGAGGAAGGCCGGUGGCGAAGGCGGCGCUCUGGCACAUUUCUGACGCUGAGGCUCGAAAGCGUGGGGAGCAACCAGG